rnacentral:rRNA from 1 species
GAUGAACGCUGGCGGCGUGCUUAACACAUGCCAGUCGAACGGAAAGGCCACUGCUUGCAGGGGUACUCGAGUGGCGAACGGGUGAGUAACACGUGGGUGCUCUGCCCUGCACUUCGGGGUAAGCGUGGGAAACUGGGUCUAAUACCGGAUAGGACGACGGUUUGGAUGCCAUUGUGGAAAGGUGUUCGGUGUGGGAAGAGCUCGCGGCUUAUCAGCUUGUUGGUGGGGUAAUGGCCUACCAAGGCGUCGAAGGGUAGCCGGCCUGAGAGGGUGUACGGCCACCUGGGGACAGAGGUACGGACCAGACUCCUAGGGGAGGCAGCAGUGGGGAAGAUUGCACAAUGGGCGCAAGCCUGAUGCAGCGGCGCAGCGUGGGGGAUGACGGCCUUCUGGUUGUAAACUCCUUUCGCUAGGGACGAAGCGCAAGUGACGGUACCUGGAGAAGAAGCACCGGCUAACUACGUG